GAUCCAGUUGCCUAGUGGUUAGAGCGUCCGUCAAGAAUGCGAAAGGUCGUGAGUUCGAUCCCCGGUUGAGUCA